ensembl:lncRNA
GCUAUGUGUUUUUCAACCCCAAAGCUUUUCCAAUCCUGAUCACAAACACUGUAUUUGAGCUCACUACCCAUCGGAACACCCCAGUUCAUUUUAUAUACCAUUAGUGGUUUCAUUCCUUGACUUUAAAAUCCUCUUCCCAGUAUCUUCAAAUAGCAGAGAAAUAUUUUGGAUAACAGCAAUAAUCCCUGACCACAAAUAACUGUGAGCAAAACUGCUGAAACCAGAGAGGAUGCAGGAAUUUUCCAUCUUCUUGUGGAAAGGAAAAUAAAUGGUUAAAUGCAAAGUGGGAGGAAGCCAAGCAGGGAUUGGUGGGAAGUUGUUACAUGUAGGUUUUUCACUCAAUGGUGAAAUGCUUGAGCUUUCUGUAUAUCAAAAACCCAAAAAAUUAUUUUACACUGCGAAGAAAACAGGCAACAAAGGCAGAGAGGCUGCUAUGAACUUUCACCAUGUUGGCCGUGGCUUUUUGGAUGUAUAGCGUGUAAAUGCACAGAGAAGUAUAUAGAGUUGCAAGUGCCUUUGGUUAACAUGAAAAAGUUAUUAUUAUAAGUGACUCAAGAUAAGACCAACCCACAGUCUGUCUUAUCCUCUCCUGCAUUCAAGCCACAGAAAGUGGCUGAACCAGGUCCAAACCCUGCAGGACUUACCAGGCUAACAUGCUGCCCCGGUGGUCAGACCUCCACCGACCCUGGGUCUCAGCUUCUCUUGUACAACCCUGAAGACCUAGAGCUGAUGUCUGUGGUCAGGCUUCCUUUCAGUUCUAUUAAUAAUGUCUGGUCAGAUUUGUCACGUCUGCUCAGAGACACACAGCCCUGAUUUAAACAUUCGGUGAUAAAACAGAGCAGCAGAACCAAAGCUAGAUGCCAGAAAGCUAAAUCUGCCCCUAGGGAAAGUCAAAACACAUAUUUACUUCUUCGGUCUUUAUCUACACCCCGACUUUUCUGCCAGAAAUAUAAGGCUAGCAACGAGUCUCAAGACCAGAUUUAGCUUGACUGCACUUUCUGAGAUUAUGACAGUCGUAGAGAACUGAAACUGCUGUUCUAAACCCUUAGUUACAGAAUUCUUCCUCUGUGUGUCAGUACAGACUCUGAUUAACCAGUCCCUCUCCUACUCUGUAUCUGAAGACUUGAUAACCAGACCACAGAGAGAGUCUUUUUAUUCAUUUUGUCCCAGUUAAGAAAGUACUGAGUUCCGCUAAAUCACUGGUUUUAUUAGCAGUGGAAUCCUUUCUUUAAAUGAUAGCUUACAAUGUGAGCCUUUUUCAGAAUCUUUUUUUGUGGACCAGAAAGCCCUUUACUUUGAUGGGAGUUACUCUGAUGGAGAAAGGACUAGGGGUAAAAGCGCCCCCUGACUGUCCUUCCCCUGCCCACCUGAUGCUUUCUCUGUAGAAGCCCAGAAGAGGCAGAGUUUGAGACCAGUGACCUGGGUAAGAAGAAGGGCAUCUCUGAACAGGCACUUUGAUCUGAUGGCAAAAGUCCCAGUGACUGCACUUUACUUCCACAAUGGGCCACCAGCUGCCACUCCGCACCACAACACCUUCAUUCUCAGGUUAGCCUGCAGUGAUUCUAAACCUCUAAACAACCUUAGAAGCACGGGUCAAAAGUUGUGACCUCAGAGGAAGAAAAUAAUCCUUCGUAUUUGCUUAUAUUUAUCGAGCUUUGGACACUUCGCGAUGUGCUGCUGCUAAGUCGCUUCAGUCGUGUCCGACUCUGUGUGACCCCA